rnacentral:rRNA from 1 species
GAUGAACGCUAGCUACAGGCUUAACACAUGCAAGUCGAGGGGAAACGACAUCGAAAGCUUGCUUUUGAUGGGCGUCGACCGGCGCACGGGUGAGUAACGCGUAUCCAACCUGCCCACCACUUGGGGAUAACCUUGCGAAAGUAAGACUAAUACCCAAUGAUAUCUCUAGAAGACAUCUGAAAGAGAUUAAAGAUUUAUCGGUGAUGGAUGGGGAUGCGUCUGAUUAGCUUGUUGGCGGGGUAACGGCCCACCAAGGCAACGAUCAGUAGGGGUUCUGAGAGGAAGGUCCCCCACAUUGGAACUGAGACACGGUCCAAACUCCUACGGGAGGCAGCAGUGAGGAAUAUUGGUCAAUGGACGAGAGUCUGAACCAGCCAAGUAGCGUGCAGGAAGACGGCCCUAUGGGUUGUAAACUGCUUUUAUAAGGGAAUAAAGUGAGUCUCGUGAGACUUUUUGCAUGUACCUUAUGAAUAAGGACCGGCUAAUUCCGU